AGUGAACGCUGGCGGUAGGCCUAACACAUGCAAGUCGAACGGCAGCACAGUAAGAGCUUGCUCUUACGGGUGGCGAGUGGCGGACGGGUGAGGAAUACAUCGGAAUCUACUUUUUCGUGGGGGUUAACGUAGGGAAACUUACGCUAAUACCGCAUACGACCUACGGGUGAAAGCAGGGGAUCUUCGGACCUUGCGCGAUUGAAUGAGCCGAUGUCGGAUUAGCUAGUUGGCGGGGGAAAGGCCAACCAAGGCGACGAUCCGUAGCUGGUCUGAGAGGAUGAUCAGCCACACUGGAACUGAGACACGGUCCAGACGCCUACGGGAGGCAGCAGUGGGGAAUAUUGGACAAUGGGCGCAAGCCCGAUCCAGCCAGACCGCGUGGGUGAAGAAGGCCUUCGGGUUGUAAAGCCCUUUUGUUGGGAAAGAAAAGCAGCAGGUUAAUACCCCGCUGUCCUGACGGUACCCAAAGAAUAAGCACCGGCUAACUUCGUG
rnacentral:rRNA from 1 species